rnacentral:tRNA from 1 species
GCAUUGGUAGUUCAGUGGUAGAUUGUCUGCCUUCCAUGGUGGAGACCUGGGUUUGAUUCCCAACCAGUACG